UACGAAGGGUGCAAGCGUUACUCGGAAUUACUGGGCGUAAAGCGUGCGUAGGUGGUGAGUUAAGUCUGUCGUGAAAGCCCCGGGCUCAACCUGGGAAUGGCGAUGGAUACUGGCUCGCUAGAGUGCGGUAGAGGAGAGUGGAAUUCCCGGUGUAGCAGUGAAAUGCGUAGAUAUGCGGAGGAACACCGAUGGCGAAGGCAGUCCCCUGGACCUGUACUGACGCUCAUGCACGAAAGCGUGGGGAGCAAACAGG
rnacentral:rRNA from 1 species